rnacentral:misc_RNA from 1 species
UUUCCGUAGGUGAACCUGCGGAAGGAUCAUUAUUGUAUAACCGAUGUUCGAGGUCUUUCGCUCACCCGGCAGGUCGUGUACGCCCGAGCGCCCUCACAUACAUCCAUCCCACGCCUAUGUGCACCACCGCGUGGGUCCCCCUUUGGCCUGUUUGGAGGGAGCCUUAGUAUUACACACAUACUCUGUAUGCAGCGUAAAAAGUAUUUUUAGAAUGUGCGAUCACGCUAUCAAAACAAUUUUCAACAACGGAUCUCGUGACUCUCGCAGCGAUGAAGAAAG